UACGUAGGCAGCAAGCGUUGUUCGGAAUUACUGGGCGUAAAGAGUGUGUAGGCGGUGCUCUAAGUUCGGUGUGAAAUCUCCCGGCUUAACUGGGAGGGUGCGCCGGAAACUGGAGUGCUCGAGCGUGGGAGAGGAAAGCGGAAUUCCUGGUGUAGCGGUGAAAUGCGUAGAUAUCAGGAGGAAGACCAGUGGCGAAGGCGGGUCUCUGGACAGUUCCUGACACUGAG
rnacentral:rRNA from 1 species